UACGGAGGGGGCGAGCGUUAUUCGGAAUUAUUGGGCGUAAAGGGCGCGUAGGCGGCUGAACAAGUCAAAGGUGAAAUCCCUCGGCUCAACUGAGGAACUGCCUUUGAAACUGUUCGGCUUGAGGCCGGGAGGGGGUAGCGGAAUUCCCAGUGUAGCGGUGAAAUGCGUAGAUAUUGGGAGGAACACCAGUGGCGAAGGCGGCUACCUGAACCGGUUCUGACGCUGAGGCGCGAAAGCGUGGGUAGCAAACAGG
rnacentral:rRNA from 1 species